rnacentral:rRNA from 1 species
UACGGAGGGUGCAAGCGUUGCUCGGAAUUACUGGGCGUAAAGCGUGUGUAGGCGGCCCUGUAAGUUGGGUGUGAAAUCCCUAGGCUCAACCUAGGAACUGCGCCCAAAACUGUAGGGCUUGAGUGCCGGAGAGGGUGGUGGAAUUCCCAGUGUAGAGGUGAAAUUCGUAGAUAUUGGGAGGAACACCGGUGGCGAAGGCGGCCACCUGGACGGACACUGACGCUGAGACACGAAAGCGUGGGGAGCAAAC